CUGGGAGGGGGGGUAAAAACAAAGCCCACAUUGUGUUUGUGUGGAUUGGAAUUGUGGAUAUUUUAAUUGGGAUUUUUCAGAUGUGCCAGAAAGCAAAUGUAUGGUCAAAUGCUCUUUGUAUUCAGUAGGAGAAAGAUAUCCAAUUCUUACAACCCAAUACUUGUGGAAUUUAUAGAGGGAGAAACCAUUACUGGACCCGCAGAGGUCUUACUGGUUUCAUUGCUUUAGGAACUGUGGUUUAAGUAUCUCUAAAAGUCUCAGUCGUCUUCCUGAUACAUAUGAUGGCACUUACACGAGGCUUUGUUGGCCAUAAUAAGCUGACCAUUAGCUUCUAUGGAGAGGCUAGCUCAGCAUUCAUAGCGACCACCACCAUUGAAUAUAAAGGAGCUGUCUUCACAUAAUAGACUUCCAUGUGAAUUUCCGUGUUCUGGAUGGGGGUGCUUGGAUCAACAAGUGCUUUGUUUGUGUGUCAAGGUUCUUCGUUCUGACAUACAAAAACAAGGAAUAAAGGAUUCUAGUGUCUUUUGUUGCAGAUUGUUCAGACUCGGUGUGCUAUUAUAGCUAUGACAAGAACACACUUCAAAUUUGUGUUUGAAAACAGCUGUGGUUAACUUUUAUCUGCCUUAACAUUCUGAAAGCUCAUGUCAUUUUUUUUAAGCGUAGAACGUGUUCCAAUAACCUUUGACCUUUAACUGAAACUCAAUCACUCUACACAGUUAAAAAGAUAUUUUGGCAUCCUUAGGUCUUUUCUUUCUUAAACUGCCAGGAAAAUGAUACUUCAUCUCCUCUUUCUUGUGAUAAUGUUUAUCUUGGUUUUCAAUCCAGGUAGCGUCUGUGUCAGAAGCCGACAAGCUGCCUGUACUGUAGCUCCUUUGGAUAGAUCAUCUUAUCUUGAUGCCUUUGCAAAGUUUAUCCAUAAAAUGUUACAAGUCGUGUGAGUGAUCGCUUUUCUCUCCAGAAUCUCCGUCUUCACUUCAAUCUUCCUGAGCAUCAGGUAAACAAUAAAUCCUCUCGAGGCAUAUGCUCCUUCAAGGGCCAGAACAAUUAAAAUGUUUCAGAGGAGGGUAUAGCAUUGUUAUGAGGCAAUCUAAUCAAGCAUUAACACUCCAGGUUUUCUGCCAAGGUGAUGUCAUUGAUGUGAGACACAGGCAGGCCAAAGGGAUGCCAUAUUACAAUGAUAAUGGCAGUGGGGAGAACACAGGACUGACUUGGAAUUGGAAGUGUUUGGAAGAUCAGAGUCAAAGUCAUUGAUUAUGUGUUGCUUAAUUGAUUCUGUGCUGCUUAAUGCCACAGAUGGAAUGAGGUGGCCACAGUCACAAUGUGGUCAUGCUGUGAGCCAGUGAUGUGAGCCAGAAAAGAAAAGAAAAAAGACUUUGGAUAACAGUUUGCUUCCGUUUGGAGAUUCAAGCAGUUCACUUUGGUUUGGGUCCAAAGCAGAGGUUUGCUGUGGUUCACUUCUCAAAGUUUCAGAUACCUUUCUAACCAGCUAUAAUGGGGAAAGGCAAGGUAAGGUAAGGGACGCAGCUGGAGCUGUGGUCAGAACCACUGAGCCUCUUGGGCUUGCUGAUCAGCAGGUUGGUAGUUCAGAUCCGCACAACAGGGUGAGCUCCCAUUGCUCUGUCCCAGCUUCUGCCAACCUAGCAGUUCGAAAGCACACCAGCACAAGUAGAUAAACAGGUACCGCUGUGGCGGGAAGGUAAACGGCAUUUCCGUGUGCUCUGGUUUCCAUCACGGUGUUCUGUUGUGCCAGAAGCAGUUUAGCCACGUUGGACACAUGACCUGGAAAACUGUCUGUGGACAAACACUAGCUCCCUUGGCCUGAGAUGAGCCAAGCAACCCCAUAGUCGUCUUUGACUGGACUUAACCAUCCAGGGGUAACAUACCUUGACCUUGACCUUAAUGGGAAAUCAAUAAACAGCUAUACUUUUUAUUUAUUUGACACAUCUGGAUGAAAUCUGUCCCUUUUGAUUAGAUUAUGCCAAAUUUCAGAUGGAUAGAUCCAGUGACGUGGGUUGUAUGCAAGGUGUGCUUUAAUGUUAGGGUUGUUGUUGAAAUAAAUUCUCCUUCUCUGCUUUCCCUUGUAUGGAGAGCUUAGGAACACAGGAAGCUGCCUAAUGUCAAGUCAGACCUUUCGUCUACCUAGCUCAGGACUGUCUCUUCUGAAGAUCUCCAGACCUGGUAGUUUUUUCCUGAAUCAACUCUAACUUUCCUCUUCCAUCUGCCAUAACACUCUCAUAGAAGUCCGAGGUCAGUCCCACGGCUAGAAUUUGUUUUGAAAUGGAAAAUUCCCCCAGCCCAGUUGUUAUUGUAGCAAUGUCAAACCUCCUCUAGGGGGACACAGUAACAGACAAAGCUUGCAACUUUAAGAAGAAAGUAAUCUUUAUAAAUCCCCCAAUUCACAAAAAAGGAACAGUUUCAAUUGCACUUAAUCAAUUACUUUAAAACCAGGAGAAGUCCAGAAACACUGUAUCUCUCUUGCAGAGUUAGCUGUCAAAAGUACUCUGUUUACCAAUAGUGCUUUUCACAGAACAGCAUUCCUUGUCCCAAGGCAGUCCAUUCCCAGGUUCUAAGCGGUGGAUUUUAGCUUCCUUUCCCUCUUUUUUUGCAGAUAAAUACAGUUCAAACCUUUCCCCCCUCCUCUCCUGGAAACCGGAGGGGAGAGCGCUUUUCUGAUGUUAGGAUUUGCGUCCUUUUUCAAACGUCUUUCAAAGUUUCCGCUUACAGUCUCUUUGCUUUGAUCUGUUUACAAGAAAUGGAAGGCGGACUUCCUGUUUAUGCCUCCCCGCUUCGGUUCCGAAUUAAUUGUUUUCUCCCUUUAAAUCCAAUUUUAUCCUACUCACGGGUAGUUACUUUUGAAGUCGAAUUGUCCCAGGAAAAAGUCAGCGCUCUCCGAUAACGGCUGUGCGGCUUCAGUCCGCGGAAGAAGCAGUCGACUCUCAGCACCGCGCCGCUCACCCCGUUUCGCUCCGGAGCCCAAAAAUGGGUUCCUUCACAGAUUGGGGGGGGGCGCAAAAGGUGCCCGCCGAGUCCCACGUUCACAAGCUUCACCUGCCUGUGAUUUUUGAAGGGUCCCCGCUUCGCCGCAGCGGUGAGACCCGAUCCCGCGGAGCUGGUCCCUCAGAAAGUCAGAGGGAAUCUGCCAUUACCGAUGGCGCCAACCCGGAAGUCCACUGUACUGAAGAUCUCUAGGAUUGCACUUAGUGGGAUAUUCCCUGCAUGGUAAGCAUGUCCUAUGUGCUCUACCACUGAACCAUAUCCUGUCCCCUUCAUUUUUAUGAGUGGGGACCACCUGCAAAGAAGGAAUUCCCCACAGGCAUAUUUUUUAAAAUAUAUUUUUUAUUAGUUUUCAAUUACAAUCCAAUAAUAGUUUCAUUAUAACAAUACCAGUUUAUAAUACCAUUACUAAUACCAUUUGUUCAAAUACCGAAUUAUAUAAUUUAGAUAAAGUGCCCCCCACGUGCUAGAAUUGAUGGUUUGAUUAUUUUCUUCAUUUCUGCAUUCCAUAAUCUUAUUAAUUUCAAUUACAUUCCGGUCAUAAUAAUAAUCCCUUAUACAACAACUGCAAUAUUAAUAACUUCUAUUUGUGUUGACACAGUAAAUGAUUUAUAAUACUACAAAUGAGGCACUCAGACUAUAUCCUUGUUCUUUCUAUGUGUGGCAGUUAUUCUGUCUGUGGCAUUUUUUCCUAUCCUUAUAAAAUGCUGUGCCUAUCUUUUUCUGGUUGCUGCUGUUAUCCAUCAUGCCUUGGGCGGAGCUGAUAUCCCAUUGUUCCAGAAAUUUCUCCAGGCAUAUUUGAGGAGAUUUAUAUGAUCAUGUUCCAUGAAUUUAAAUUUCCUCAUGAAAUUUGUGUUAGGAAAAAACAUGUUUUAAUUCAUAUGUAAAUAGGAAAGUGAGUUUCCCAGUCCAUGUAUCAGUCUUGCCCCCAAUAUUUUGCACAAGCAAAAUCUGGGGUUGAAUUUGGGACUCCUCCUAUCUCUGAGAAGCCUUAAGAACAGGCUCCAACAACAACAACAAUUUAUUUAUACCCCGCCCAUCUGGCUGGGCUUCCCCAGCCACUCUGGGCGGCUUCCAACAAAAUAUUUAAAUAUAGUAAUGCAACAAACAUUAAAAGCUUCCCUAAACAGGGCUGCCUUCAGAUGUCUUCUAAAAGUCUGGUAGGUGUUGUUCUCUUUGACAUCUGGUGGGAGGGCAUUCCACAGGCCCCUAGGUGCCUGGGCAUCCACAAAUUUUAAACGAAGGGGCCAGGACCCCCAGAUUCUAUUCUGUGACAUGCACAUGCCCUACAACAGGGUUGUCCAGCUGUUUGACCGCAAUCAGCAGGUUGAUCCCCGGACGAUCAUAGUUGAUCGCUGGAUCGUUAUCACUCGCAUUGUUUAGAAUCAUGUCUUCGCCCCUCUCGGUCUUUUCCAGCGCCACGUUUAGUGUGUGACCCUUUGUUGUCUGCUGUAGCGCUGCUUUAGUCUGUUAGUGGCUGUGUUGUUGGUGAGCGAUUUAUUUUAAUUCUGCACACUUACUGUUUAAAAAAAGGUCAUCAACUUUGUAAAGCUCUCCCCACUAUAAAAAGGUCAAGAACUUUUUGUUGUUGUUUAGUCAUGUCCGACUCUUCAUGACCCCAUGGACCAGAACACGCCAGGCACUCCUGUCUUCCACUGCCUCCCCCAGUUUGGUCAAACACAUGCUGGUAGCUUCCAGAACACUGUCCAACCAUCUCGUCCUCUGUCAUCCCCUUCUCCUUGUGCCCUCCAUCUUUCCCAACAUCAGGGUCUUUUCCAGGGAGUCUUCUCUUCUCAUGAGGUGGCCAAAGUAUUGGAGCCUCAGCUUCAGGAUCUGUCCUUCCAGUGAGCACUCAGGGCUGAUUUCUUUAAGAAUGGAUUGGCUUGAUCUUCUUGCAGUCCAUGGGACUCUCAAGAGUCUCCUCCAGCACCAUAAUUCAAAAGCAUCAAUUCUUCGGCGAUCAGCCUUCUUUAUGGUCCAGAAGCUCAACCACUUUGACCUGCCCCCCUAAAAGAGGCUCAACAACUUAGGCCUUCCCCCUAAAAAAAGUUCAACAACUCUGAACUCCCCCCCCCCCACCAAAUGGGUAGAUCACUCCCAGUCCCCCCCCCCCCGGAGUAGAUUGCAGUAUCUUGGGAGUUGGAUGUCCCUGCCCUACAACAUGCACACAUGACGUCAGCAUGCUGGAGUGUGUGCCGACAUGAUGCACAGAUGUGCACAUGCCACAAUGACGUCGGCAUUGUGCCUGUCACAGGGCACCCAUUGUCACAGGGGCAAGGCCUGGCCUCAAGAAAAGCAAUGCUGUACUGUAUAGAACAUUAAUGUCUCACAUCAAAUAUAACGGAUCUGUAGAAAGGACUUUAUGAUCUGAAAAUAGAGAUGAUGUAUGUACUUCUGUAACCCAAUAAAAUCUUUAAUCAAAACAAUUUUUUAAGAAGAUAAGCAGUGCUUCUAUUGAUGCAGUUACUGUUUACUACUGCUGCUGCUACUUAUUAAUACUAUCGCCUUUUCUUUCUGGAAUACAAUGGUACCUCGGGUUACAGAUGUUUCAGGUUACAGACUCCGCUAAACCAGAAACAGUACCUUGGGUUAAGAACUUUGCUUCAGGAUGAGAACAGAAAUCGUGCGGCAGUGGUGCAGCGGCAGCAGGAGGCCCCAUUAGCUAAAGUGGUACCUCAGGUUAAGAACAGUUUCUGGUUAAUAACGGGCCUCUGGAACGAAUUAAGUUCUUAACCCGAGGUACCACUGUACAGCCUACAGAACAAAGACAAGAGGCACACCUGUUGUUGCAUCCACGUUUGUCUUUGGCCCCACCCAUGUAGCCCCAGGAACAUUCCCCAUGAGGCAAUAUGGCUCUUGGGCUGCAAAAGACCCCUCACACCUGUUUUAAAGCAGUUCAGAAAGGCUGGCAUUUCUCAGGGGUGUGUGCAUUUCCUAUGCAUUGCUAGGUAGUCGUCGGAUUUUUGCCCAAAGCAAAAUUCAAAAUGAAUUUGGGAUUUUUCCUCAGGAGAAACAUGAAAGAAUGUAAAAGGUAGCCCCCAAAAGACCAAAAAAUGCUUCAGAGGUUUCUCAGGAGAGUCUCAUACCCCCCACAAACACCCGUGAUCAAAACAUGUGCACUGCCAUUCAGUUAUUGCAAAAUGCCUGCUUUUUGACGUGGGUAUUCUGUAUCCAAGAGCUAUGAAAUGAAUAUUUCACACAAGUUACUCAACCAUUUUCUUAAAAGAAAACUAAUUUUCGAGUCACCUUUCUGGGGCAAACAUCUAAACAUUGUUUCUUCAUGUAGCUUAAGUAAAAGUUGAUUUGGGAAGUCAAACUGAGGUUUUGAAGAAGUUAUGUAAAGUAGGAGCUAAAGUAAUAUAAUAUGCUCUGUGUUUAACCCCUAGGAGUCUAGACAAUUUCUGGUAAGGGAAUUUAUGUUAAGAAGCGGUUCUGAAGGACAUGUUGACAGAAGAUAAUAUUAUUUAUGCUUCAAAACCAUCACGAUUUGCAGACUUUGGAUUAAUGUCACUGUUUGUCAAACUGUUAUGCCAGGCAGAGCAAAGCAUCAGUUAUUUUGGACUUUUUAUUUACAGCAUUAUAUUAUUCUUUUUUGUAAAUACGUUUAUUGGUUUUCAUAGAUAUAUAACAAGAUAGAGCUAGACAAACAAAACUUUAAACAUAAACAAAACCUGGUCCCCAAUCUUGCCAGUGACCCAAAAAAGUAUUCAUUUAUAUAUAUUAUUUUUCUCCUCUGUUCCCACAUUCUUGACAUUACCCUGGAAACAAACUGGUGUAAACGAAAACUAAAAUGGCUCCCAAGCCCUCCUCAAAACAAGUCCUCAGAAGCAGGAGCAGUCCUACCAUUAAUGGGGUGAGUUGGCUCACCUCGGUGGCAGAUUUUGGGGUAUCUGAAGGCAGCCCUGUUUAGGGAAGUUUUCAAUGACUGGUGUUUUAAUGUAUUUUUAAUCUUUUGUUGGAAGCCGCCCAGAGUGGCUUGGGAAACCCAGCCAGAUGGGUGCGGUAUAAAUAAUUUCUUCUUCUUCUUCUUCUUCUUCUUCUUCUUCUUCUUCUUCUUCUUCUUCUUCUUCUUCCAUUAAAAGGUCCUACAUGGGUUUAGUUUAUUGAUGCAUUUUUACUGCAUUUUGGAUUCUCUGCCUCAGGAAGCAAAAUGUCUUGUUCAGAAGGAUGACAAUGAAAACUAUUGUGAUACUACUACUACUACUACUACUACUACUACUACUAAUUAAUUAUUUAUACCCCGCCCAUCUGGCUGGGUUUCCCCAGCCACUCUGGGCAGCUUCCAACAAUGAUUAAAAAUACAAUAAAACAUCAGUCAUUAAAAACUUCCCUUUAAUGUGAAUGAUUUGCCUCAGGUGUUUGAGUGAAGACAAAGAACCCGCUAAAAGUAGCCUUCCUAUUUCUUUAUUUCUUAACAGGACUUUCAUAAAAAAUAUUGGGGGGGGGGGCUUGUGAUAUUCCAGCUGUUGCUUGACUCCUAUCAUCCCUAACCAUUGGUCAUGCUGGCUGAGGCAGAUGGGAGUUGAAGCCCACCAACAUCUGGAAGACCACAGGCUCUCCAUCCUUUGCAACAGACCCAAGGCACGCCUACUAAGAUUUUAAACUUUUCCUCUAAAUAGCAUACACACAGCAUCAUAGCAGUCCUCUCUGGCUGUGAUCCUGUACACACCUAGCUAGGAGUAAGUCCCCUUGAACAUGAUGAGGCUUACUUCUGAGUACUAAUCACACAUAGGAGUGCACUGUCAGUUUCAAAAGCAUCUUCCGAUGUGUCAUGGGGAGGGAGCAGCUGUUCAAAAGCCCCAUAUGCCCAAAGCACUCUUUGGUACGCAGAAACAUUUGUGGGGUUCUUUGGCUAUUCAACACUUAGCAACCCUCCUCAUUCAAUAUGGGUUUCACAUACACACCUGCUAACAUAUUUUGUCUGUGAAUUCGAAUCUUUAGAUAUUGGAAAUAAUGUGUUUUGGCAGAUUUUCCCAAGAACAUAGACUCACACUCAAACUUUAAAAUGAGGAUGUUUAAGGAAGAGAUAUAUACAGAGAGAGGAAAAAAGAAAAUUAAAAAAAAAUAAUUAACAAUUCAACGGGGAAUGGCUCAGCAGCAAUACGUAACUUUUAAAAUUAUGGGAAUAGCCCAGUAGCAAUAUGCAUUUAUGUGGUGUGAGUUAAUUAGCUAAAUAACCCUAAUGAUAACUAAACUAAUACACACCAAUAACAUAAACGUAUGACUAGUAACUCACCUCCUCUGAGGUGACCAACAGAACUCUCAAGGCUACAAUUUUUAAAGGGUCUUAAGCAGCCUCCUUGCAAAGUGAACGAAAAUAGAGCCAUUAAAAAAAUUAUAUAGGGAAUACUGUCUCCCAGGUUCCCAGUGUUAGUCAACCUCCUAACAGGCCUUAAUUUAUUUGACCAACCUGUACCCUCACCCUUCCCAGCCUCACAGCAGCAAGCAGAAUAGCCUUACACAAUAAUUAAACUAUAAAAGCUGCAAUUAUUUGUUUAUAUGUAGAAUAUCUAAAUCAUUCUGCUAUUAGAAAGCAUUCCAAUUGGUAUACAAAAUAUUGUUAUUUUGUCCACCGACAGCAGCGAGCUUUCAAUAACCUUUUAAGGUAUAUAUCCAGAGGCAGGGAUAUUCAUUUAUAUGUACUUUGCUCUGCAGUUGAUGGGCGGUUAGAGGAUUCACAGCAGCUAUGUGAUUCCCACCUUUUACUGCCUCCCAAGAAAAUAAGAGUGAAAUCAUCAUUGCUGUAAUCAGUUGAACCCGCUGAAUUUGUAUUGAAACCUGUACUGGGGUAGUGCUUCAGUGGGUGCAAUCCUAUGCACUCUCAUUUAAGAGCAAGUCUCAUUAAACUUACUGGAGCUUGCUUCUGAGUGGACACAUAUCAGAAUGCACUGUAAAAGUACCAGUUUUGGGUUAGGGAUGAUAGUGAACAGACCAUACAGGAACCAAACUGAUUCAGAUGCAGCAGAGAUGGGGAAUCUGUCACCCUGCAGAAGUUCUUGACCAGGCAUGGGCAAACUCAGCCCUCCAGAUGUUUUGGGACUACAGUUCCUAUCAUCCCUUACCACUGGUCCUGUUAGCUAGGGAUCAUGGGAGUUGUGUUAAGAAUUCCACCUUAAGGAGCAGACGUGUGGAACUGUUGUGUUUCACAUGUCUGUUUACAUUCCAGCACUGCUUGCUGGGAACUUCCAUUGUGUGUAUUGCUUUUGCUUUUCCCUGUCUCUCUAAGAAGACGAAGAGAGAGAGACAACAUGUUUCUUUGUCCUGAUUUAUGAUUAAUAAAUCUGUAGUUGUAGUAUGCUUUCACAAGCCUCACGCCUAUUCUGUGUGCGCAGUUCAGUCUGCUGAUAGUGUGCCCUGGCUUUGAAGCCCGGGUCGCUGAUUUACGUUGGACCAGAGGCCGAUGGGUCUUCGCAGCGGGAUGGCUGGAAGGAGACAGCCCAGCUGGGGCUAGCCAGCUGGCCUUGCAGCCCUCUGCAUGCCGACAAGUUGUAGGCCCAAAACAUCUGGAGGGCCGAGUUUGACCCACAGCUGCCACCAUCCCUGACCAUUGGCUAUGCUGGCUGGAGCUGAUGGGAUCUGGAUUGCAACAACAUGUGGGGAAAGCAUAACUUUCCCAUUCCUGAGAUAAGGGACCCAAAAAUCCAAGUCUGUUUGCAAAACAUGUUUAGAGGUCAAACUCCAGCUCACACCGUGUGAGGAAGGGCUGCAGCGCCACCAUUGUUCUCACAGGAGCCAACUCCUAAGGGCCGUGGAGCCUUCGGCCCUUACAAUAAAACAUUUGAGGGGGCCGGGCCCCCACAAAGUUGAUGGGCAUUCCCAUUCAAAUGGUGUGUGUGCACUGCAUCGUGUGGUUGAUUUUGCAGGGCGGGGCUUACCUGCCCCCCCCCAUAUUUUAUUCCAGUUGGCACCCCUGCUUGUUCUACUAUACAGACAGCUUCUGAUAGAAGAUGCACUGGGAUGACCACACAGAGACCACAUUUGUGUGGUUCCCUUUCCUCGAAAAAACAUCAGGCAAGCCAGGACUUUGUGUGAUUCUGUGCUGAUGUGGAGAGCUACAUCUCCACACUGAAUGCUGUGAAUGGGAGAAGCUCACACUUCUCUACCGUUACACCACAUUACUGUGAUUUCCAAAUAUAUGUAAGACUUGGUAAAUAUCAAUCACUGCCAGAUGCUGUUCCUUAUUGCUUUCCAAUUUAUUUGUCAUAAAAUUUAUAUACUGCUUGACUGUAGAAAACAACAACACUUCAAGAGGUUAUUGCAUGGCAGUGGAAAGAACAGAGAUAAUAAGAGAGUCUGAGGAAGAGCUGUACCACAGUAGAGUACAAGCAACUCCCCAUUUAUGUGUGGGGUUACAUGCCAAGGCACCACAUAUAAUUUGUAACUCAUAUAUGAUUGGUAACUCAUAACUGCAUAUAUCUGAAACACCAAAAGGCAAAAACGUCCCUUUUUAAGCAGGCCUUUGGUUGAUUUGAUUGACAUCCUACGCCCUUUUAAAAUGUAGGGGUUUUUUUGGGGGGGGUGUUAUUGGGUUGUUGUUUUUAUUUUGAUUAUAUAUAUUGUGGUUUUAUAUUUUGAUUUUGUUCUGUGAACUGUCCUGAGACCUCCGUGUAUAGGGGGGUAUAUAAAAAGGUGAAAAAAAGAGAAAAAAAGGUAAAGGACCUCUGGACAGUUAAGUCCAUUCAAAGGCGACUAUGGGGUUGCAGUGCCCAUCUCAGUUUCAGGUCGAGGGAGCCGGUGUUUGUCCACACACAGCUUUCCGGGUCAUGUGGCCAGCAGGACUAAACUGCUUCUGGCACAACAGAAUACUGUGAUGAAAACCAGAGCGCAUGGAAAUGCCAUUUACCUUACCGCUGCAGCGGUACCUAUUUCUCUACUUGCACUGGUGUGCUUUUGAACUGCUAGGUUGGCAGGAGCUGGGACAGAGCAACGGGAGCUCACUCCAUCAUGGGGAUUUGAACCACUGACCUUCUAAUCGGCAAGCCCAAGAGGCUCAGUGGUUUAGACCAUAGUGCCACCCAUGUCCCUGAUGGUAUAUAAAUUCAACAAACAAACAAACAAGCAAACAAACAAACAAACAAACACCAUUGGAAAAGCCUGCAAACAUCCUCUAAACCGCUGGAAAGCCUUGAACAACCCUUUUAAAAACCAGCAGCACUUACUAGACUGCACCAAACUCCACCACAAUUGCUCCCUCCAAACUUCCUUGCUCAAACUUAAACUCUCCACAGGCCUCAACAGUUGGUGCAAGGGCUCCUAAGAUUGUACUUGGAAAGGCUCAUGGGACAGCCAGGCACUGCUUUUGCCAUUUAUAAAGUCACUUCUUGAUUCGGUGUGAUGUGCACAUGUGCGGUCACAUGUAAAUCGGUCAUUGCCUGUGCCUGUUUUGUAUGCUGAAGGUUCCUGGUUCAGUCCCUAGUGAACUGGCAAUGUCUCCUGCCUGAAACCCUGGAGAGCUUCCAACAUUCAGUUUAGACAACACUGAACAAGAUGGACCAAUGGUCUGACUUGCUGUAGAAGAGCUUCCUGCGUUCCUAAGUGGUGAUGGGCACUGGGAAUCUCCGUCCACAGGCAAUCUUUGAAAGCCAGCUGCCAAUAAGGACAUUUCAAGCUUCUAUAGCAAUUUUGUAGCAGUUAGAUCUGGCAUGGCAUCCGAGCAACAUUCUUACAUGUACCAAAUAAAAUAAUGGCAUGGUUUUAAAAAUAGUACAUCCAAAGAUUCUCUUCCCUUCACUUGCAGAAAAGGCUAAAAAAUUGCAUAAGUGUCUUACCACAUACUUUUUUUUCUUUUUUAAAAAAUAUUGGUGUCUGCAAAACUGAAAGACAGGUUGUCUUGUACUGUUUCUUUCAGUUUUCUUUCUUUUUUCCCAAGGCAAAAGUGACAUUUCAUGUGUGAAGGCAAUCUCUUUUGCAGCAAAAUUGUGACAUUUCUCUGAAAUGCAGGGGGCAAACAAAGCCACGCAGAAAAGUGCUGUUAUUUGUAACUUUUCUGAUCUUUUCUGUAAUGGAAUAGAUCAUCGCUCUUCUAACUGAAGCAAAGCUUUGGUCGAUGGGCCCUAAGCACUAUAUAGCUAGACAAACAAUGCCAGAUCCAUCCUGGAAGUCAGGGGCAUCAAAGAAAUAGUUGAGAGUUUAGAGAGUAGUUUUCAAAUAUGAGAUCCUGAGUAUUUGUUUUCUGAGUAAACACACACACACAGACACACACAUACAGAGAGAGAGAGAGAGAGAGUUUACGUUAUCAAAAGGGCAAAAGUGUGUUUGUGCUACAGUAAACAGUAAAUAUAUAAAAAAAUAAAAUAGCAAGAUCUACAACCAGAAGGUUAGUGGUUCAAACCCAUCCAGAGGUAGCUGUGAGCAGGAUUCCUGCAUUAUAGUUGGUUGGGCUAGAUGUCUCAUGGAGUUCUUCCAACUCAACAAUUCUAUGAUUCUGUAUCUCAUCUCCAUUGUCUUUCCUUUGCCCCAAUGGAGCCACUCUUAAACAAUAUUCUAUGUAGGAUGGCGUUCAGCAGUCAGAUGAGGGGGGAAAAUGCAUGUGCAAAAGCAGGAAUUCCUUGCGUCUUCGGCUGGCAAAAUUAGGGCAGUUCAGAUAACUGUCACCAUAUGGAACCUACCCCCAUCCCCCGUCCAUAGCUCAGUGAGAGAACAUCUGCUUUGCAUUCAGUAGAUCCCAGGAUCAAUCUUUGGCAUCUCCAGGUAGAGUUGUAAGAGAUUCCUGGCUGAAGCCUUGGAGAGCCACUGCCAGUCAGUGUCCACAAAUUUGAGCUAGUAUUGGCAGCUUCCUACGUUCUUAUACUGUGUACAUGGGAAGAAGCAUAGUUCAAUGGUAAAGGUAAAGGGACCCCUGACCAUUAGGUCCAGUUGCGAACGACUCUGGGGUUGCGGCGCUCAUCUCGCUUUAUUGGCUGAGGGAGCCAGCAUACAGCUUCCGGGUCAUGUGGCCAGCAUGACUAAGCCACUUCUGGCGAACCAGAACAGCGCUCGGAAACGCUGUUUACCUUCCCACCAGAGCAGUACCUAUUUAUCUUCUUGCACUUUGACAUGCUUUCGAACUGCUAGGUUGGCAGGAGCUGGGACCGAGCAACAGGAGCUCACCCCGUCGUGGGAAUUUGAACCGCCAACCUUCUGAUUGGCAAGCCCUAGGCUCUGUGGUUUAACCCACAGCACCACUCCAAUGGUAGAAGGAACUAUAACACAGUAACAGAGCCCAAGCUUUGUAGGCAGGCAGUACCAGGCUCAGUCCGUGCCAGUGAGAGCCAGUGUGGUGUAGUGGUUAAGAGGGGUAGACUGGUAAUCUGGUGAACCGGGUUCGUGUCUCUACUCCUCCACAUGCAGCUGCUGGGUGACCUUGGGCCAGUCACACUUCUCUGCAGUCUCUCAGCCCCACUCACCUCACAGAGUGUUUGUUGUGGGGGAGGAAGGGAAAGGAGAAUGUUAGCCGCUUUGAGACUCCUUCAGGUGGUGAUAAAGUGGGAUAUCAAAUCCAAACUCCUCCUCCUCCUCCUCCUCCUCCUCCUCCUCCUCCUCCUCUUCUUCUUCAUCAUCUCUAACUUAAAGGAUCAAGUGUAAGGUAAAUGUAUCUGGCUGUCUCCUGUCUCAGAACAGACAACACUGUGUUGAACUGAAAAAAUGUUCCAUAUGGUAUCAGGCAGCUUUAUAUGCACCUGUGAUAUCAAACCACAGUUUGAGGGAGAAAGGUGGCGAGGCACCUAGGAUUCAAGGAUCUCCCACAGAAACCUACAAAUGAAGAGCUUCAUUUACUGAGGUUCCUAAAUCAAAAGUAGCUAUAUUUUCAUUACAAGUUCCUGCAUUCGCAAGUGAUUUGAGGCAGAUCAAACCAAGAACACUAAAGCGGGGUUAAUAAUACAGGCACCUAGUAAAAUGGUAUGUGGAGGGAAGAAGAAGGGAAACACUAGGUGUUUUGAUCCUGAUGGAAUAUUUCUAGAAAGGAAUAAUUCUGCUAGAGGACAGAACAGUCAGUCCCAAGCAACACAAAUGCCGUUCCAUUUCUCAGCAUUGAUCGGUCUCUGUGCCUUUAAUAUUAUUUAUAGAGAUUUUGUACAGUGAAACAUAUAUCCCUUUUUAUAUGACACAGUGUACAAUGUUGUGGAAAGCAACUGACAAGUUCUAGCUUUCCAUGUAUGUUUAAGGGAUGUCGCUCCCAUAUAUCAAGUGCCAUUUCUGCCAUUCUUAGGGCCCGGUCCAAUUAUUUGUAGUGAGUUAGAGAUGCUUUGCCAGCACUUCUGGGCCAGGAGGGAAGAAGAGGUGACAAGCAAUUGCCUUUAUGUGGAAAGACUUGCCUCUGAAAGGUACCAUGUCUAGUUGUAACCCUCAGACACUGCAGAGCAGAUAUGGAAAAUCUGUGGCCCUCUGGAUUCCAUCAGUUCCAAUCAGCAUGGCCAAUUGUCAAGAACUUAGUCAACAGCUAAAAGGUUACAGGUUUCCACCUAUUGGCAGCACCUCCACCUGAAGGUCAAAUCUUCAUCAUCAUCAUCAUCAUCAUCACCAUAUCUAGAAAAUACAUGAAGUUAAUACGCAUCAUUCCAAAAUAACAGCAUAUGACCUUGCUUGCAGGCUUACAAACAACAAUUAUAUACGUACAAUUGCCCUUGACUUUGCAAAGCAAAGUAUGAAGUCAGAUUUAAACUGUACAUACAUUCUGAGAAUUUAGGAAUGUGGGAUAAACUACUGUGAAUAUCAAAAUAUAUAACACUAGUAAUUCCCCCUGCUUUUUUAUUUUCUGCAAAGAGUUCUGGGUUCAGGAGAAGGAAGGGAAACUCAGAACUCACUGGGUGACUUUGAGCAUUCCUCUCCACCGAUCUUCAAGCUAUGCUAAAUCACAUGAUUUUUGUGACGAUCAAAUAGAGGUUUGCUGUUCACUGUUAGAACAUGAAUAUAAAUAGUAAUACCAUACACUAAAACCAAGUUGUUCGUGGCUGUGGGCUUUAUGUUAGGGUGGGAGGAGGGAUUGUGAUGAACUUUCAUGUGAUGUCCAUUUAUCAGGUAGAAAAAGAGCAUUCAAAUGCAGACAGGCUACCAUUGACUAAUCACCCCUUUCUCUAUCUGGGCCUGUUAGUUCCAUGCCCAUCUGAGCAACUCCUGACCCAUUUCAGGAGAAAAUUGAGGUUAAAGGGCUGUCUCCUUCGUGGUAGGCCCUGCCAAGUUAAAACAAACCUUGCCUCCCUGGAGUUCAUUUUAUGUAAACUCCUUCUUGCUUUAAACGUCAAUUUGAAGCAUGGUUCCAGGCAUUAGAUCAUCCCUUGGUGGGCAGGAAGGCAGGGAAGCAUCUGUUAUUAAAGUCUGGUGUUCUGAUAAGUGAAACACAUGGCUUCUUUUCAUAUAAAAAAGGGUGGGGGGAGAGAGAGAAAGACAGUGUCAUUUGUUUCUUAUCUGCCUCCUCCUUUCAGUGAAGAUCUAAGCAUCUUAGAAAAAUGCUUACUUGUUAUUGGAAAGUGGGUGUGGGGGAAGUAUGGGAUAAUAGUAGGUGAUAUGCUUUUCAUCCCAUAACAAGAACUCUAAGUAAGCUAGGGAAGCCGGAUCCCCAGAUAUCUUGCACUUUCAAUGAUCCCUUUAUUUUUCUAGGGGAAAAAUCGUGCUGGAACUCAACAUGAACGUCUCCCUUGUAAAACAGUGCCUCCAAGUCCCACCCCAGCAAGGCAGUCCAGAAGGGUACCAUUGCUGAUAAUAUUGAAGGCUACUGAGAGGUCAGUCAGUUUUAUUGCACAUAGCCAAAGGCUGCUGCAAGGUACACAGAAUCAUUUGACAAUUAAAAGAAAAUAUACUGGAU